CAAAGCCUCUUGUGAAAACUGUGUCCCAGCCUGCCUCAGUGUCCCUCUUAAAUCCUACAGACUAAAGGACACCGUUUUAGAAGAGGCCUUAGCAAGGAGAAGGAGAGGAUCUGGGGUUCGGAAUCUCCUACACCACUCCAUGUCCUCACCCAGCCAGUGGCCCUUUCCGGGGGCCACUCCUCACAUAGGAUGUUGCUGGUACCUCCUGGCCUGGCCCCGGGAAUGCCUGGAAUUAGAGGGGUCCUGGAUCCCCUUCUGACUUGGUUCCUGACCCCUCAGCUGGACUUGGAUCUCAGAAUCCACCUCUGUCUGCUUUGGACUUCAGUAGUAUUUAUUCAUUACUGCUUUAGACUUCAGUAGUAUUUAUUCAUUACUGCUUUGGACUUCAGUAGUAUUUAUUCAUUACUGCUUUAGCCACUCAUCCUUUUUCAGGGAUUAGGAAUGGCCUCCUUCCUGAAGACCCGUACUGGAGUUCCUGUGCUGCAGGACACACGGGAGCCGGGUGGCAUUGUGAGUGCAAAAAGGUAGCUGGCAUGCUCCCAUUGCUGUUCAUUUCGCAUAAAUACUAAAAAGAAGAAACUAAAUGUUUAUUUGUGAGGAAGGAAGGAGGAGUGGAUCUGGAAUGCGCCCCGCACGCCCGCCCCACCCCGCCGGCCCAUGUAUUCCAAGCGUCUUUCUCAGCCUGUGGCACCAAAGGAAAGCAGUGAAUCCCGUAGACGGAGAAGUCAAUGAAGGAAGUUAUGUCACCGGGACCUGGCCCCUUCCCCUUGCUUUCCAUUGCUUCUGCUGCUCCAGUCCCGUUUGCGCGCUACGCUGCCCCAGAGACAGAUGACCUGAAAACAUGAGCUAAUUAAACCCUUCUUCUUUUUAA